GGAAGCGGAAGCCGCGCCGAGGCUCGUGUCAGUGGAAGCUGGGGUGUCGGCGGACGGCCGCGGCCGGGUCUAGCGGUGCCUGCGGAAGCAGAAGGAGGAGGAGGGCUGGCGAUGAGAACCAGCAGGAGGAAUCAAGGGCAAGAAGGGACCCAGAGGGGCAGGUGGCUGAGAUGCUGGCGUCCAGGUGACCCGAGGAAUCCUCUGGAGAUACAGGCCCGCGCAUGCGCGUGCUCGAGCGCUGAAGCCCAUUGCCCGCAGGGCGCUGGACUGGCGCCCCGGCCGGCGAGGCUGUCUAGUCCAGGCUCCAGGCCCCGGCUCUGGCCAGGCGCCGCCGCCUCCCGGUGCAGCUGAAAGUCGACGAAGAGGGCGGGGCGAGGGCGGCUUGUGGAGUUCCACACUUUUCCUCUCUUCGGGCCAGUCCGGGGAGAGGGUGGCUAGCUGUGGCGGCGGCCAAUUACGUGGCGGACCUGCGGGGCUAAGCUGGCACGUCACUUCCGACUAGUGGAGUUUUUAGCCUUUUAACAUUCAAGGAUUAGGUAAAAGUCUUGCAGUGAAAAACCCGAGGACCCUUACCGCAAGUGUCCUUUGCUCCCAGCUACUGAUACUGGAUUCCACUCGUGAUUCUCCCUUUCUUAGCGCAUUCAUGAUAUAGACAUCAGUCUCUGAGCUGGAAGAGGACAAAGGCAGCGGUCCUGUGAAUUCUAUGCUCUAGCUUGGGUUAAGGGAUUUGGAAUUGCACUUGUUCCAGAGAGCUCCCUCUUUGCCCACUAGCAGGGCAUUAGCUGGUGCCGAAGACAGUGGCUGCUUGGCGAGCCUGGAUCUCCAAGUGACUUCAAGUGACCCCCUCAGCAACUCCUGAUGAACAGGACUGAAGCCAAUAUUAAAGCAAGUCAACCAAAGGUUCUCUGGUGUAGACAAGACAGCAAAAGGACAGACUACCUUGUGGAACCUAGCAUUGUUCUCCUUCUGCAGCACUAAGUAACAUUUGUGCUCCAUUAAGAUCUUUGCAAACCACACACAAGAAUUGCUGGUCAUCCUGCCAAUAGAUGCUGCUCACAGAACCAAAUUUCCUGUGCUGAAUUGUCACUCAUGGGCUUGAGAGUAGGAGACUGGAGACCAAGGUGACUAGAAUCCAGUUGGGCCUGAUGUCUCCCUGUUGAAAGGGCUCCUUGUGGAAUGAACAGCACAUGGCUCCCGUGGUGGAUCUGAUAGUGGCACAGCACCAAGUGAUGCACGCCUGCCAGGGGCCACAGACACAGAAGAUGCUCCCAGGGUCCCCCGUGUACUCCAGACACACUGCAGGCCACGUCUCCCAGCAGGUUGCCAGUCAUGGGCCCCAUCAUCAUGACUUCUGUCCAAGGUGUGCUCGGAAAUCUCUUCCUUAACUGUGACUUUCUGACAGGUGGAGGAUGUGGUCAGGAGUGGGAAAAGGAUUCGAGACGGGAAGAGGGAGGGGUUCAGGAUGAAGAGAGAUAAUCUGUGCCACAGAUGCUGGCCCUGCAGUUAGCUCCCACCUAGUCCGUGCACACAGAUUCUAAUCCCCUCCCAUUCCUCUACGUGCUGCGGCCAGAGAGGCCUUUCUCAAAGUGGAAGUCUCAUCCUCACUUCUCUGGUUGCAGUGCUGGGCCAUGGGUAACUUACAAGGCUUAGCAGGAACUGUCUGCGCACUCCCCCUUCCUGCCCACUACCUUGUUUCCCUCCAGUUGCGAGAGCAAACAUUGAUUGAGCAUUAACUAUGUGCCAGGCUUGUCCUAAGUCCUUCGCAUGUAUUCACUCAAACAAUCCUCACAACAUUCCUAUCACAUCUCCCAUUUCACAGUGAGGGUUCUAAAGCACGUAGUGGGUGAGGAACUUGUCCAGGGUCACACAACUAAGUGGGGGUGGAGAAACAUCAAAUCUAGGUGGUCCAGGUGGUGGCCAGAACCCAUCAGCACCUCACUACAGCUGCCUCCAGUUUCUCGCUCUAGGAAAUACUCUUCCCUGUCAACUCCUGUUGUCCUCUGGGCUCAGUUGACAUGUCAUCUCCUUGAGGAGGACAUCCUGAGAUGCUCCCCAACUAGGGUGGGCACCCACUUCCACACUCCAAAUGCCUAUUUGACCUGUAUCGCUGCAUCCCCACUGCCUGGCAGAUAGCAGGCCCCUAAUAAAUAUGAUUUGAGCAAAUAAAUAUAGUUCUUCAAAAAAUAGGGAGGACUUCUUGCUUCAGGUAAUGGUAGGCUAGGACAUUUGGACCAACCCUCCUGCAGAAAAUAGCCAUUUAUUUUGAUGCAAUAUAUCUGGCUAUGACUAGAGAUUUCAAAUAUUUGGAGGGCUAUUAUGUGAAGAAUUAAACUUACUCUUUGUGACAUAGAGGUCAGAAAUUGGUCGUUUCCAUAGAGUAUGAGAGACACAGAAUUGUGCUCAUCAUAAGUAUCUUUUUUAAAAAUUAGACUUAAUAAAAUGGGCUGCCUUGGUAGGUGGUGAGUUCUCUGUCACAAAAGAGAUUCAGCCACUUGCUCUGAGAAAGCAUGGAGAAUAUCAACAUUGUAAGGGUCGACCACCUCAUCUCUGAGGCCCCCUCCUCACUUAGGUUGCCAUUGCAGGUGGAACACUGGGCUGAGUGUCAAAGAACCUGGGUUCCACAAGCUGUGCGAUCAUGGCUGGUUGUUUUGGAUCUGAUUCCUAAUAUCUGUUAGUUAAGCUGACCCGUCAAUACUGACCCACUUCACAGAGUUACGAAGGGAUUAAAUUAGGUAUUACAUAUAAAUCUUUGUUUUGUUUGCUUUUUGUUGUUCUUUUUUGUUUUGCUUUUUUCUUUGCAUUAUGAAAUCCCAAGUCAACUUUUUCCAUUCUUUUAUUUUUUUAAAAAUUGACAUCAUCAUUAUAACAACAAAAUAAUUUUUAAAAUGGAAAAAAAAACCUCACCUGCAACCCCACAAUCUAAUACAAUAAUCAUACUUUUUCCCCUUUAUUCUCCUUUAUUGUGACCAAGGAUGACUUUGGGCAUUGCUGUGAGGAACUAUUUCGUUUAACACCCUACUACCUGAACAUGAUGCGUACUCAGCCCUUCACCACCCCCCAAGUAGCUACACAUGAUAUGAUAAUAGUAUUGGUGUGGUUUUAGAGAGUUGGAGAGAAAACUGAAGUUGGAUUUGGGUAAAAGAAAAAAGAGUGGGAAUUAUUUUUUCUCCAUUCUAAAGCCCAUAGAGCAAUGUUAAUUGUUCCCACCCCUCUGCUAUUCUGUCUCCUCAGGUACUGUGUGCAGAAAUGUGAUUGAGAUUCAAGUCAGGGCCUCUCUGCCCUUUUCCCUCCAGAAACAAAACCAAGAUAAUUUAUCCUGAACACGGUGAAAAAAGGAAGGGAGGGAGGAGAAAAAGUCCGGGUCUUACCUGGGAUUCUCUGUCUCCUGCAACAUGAAGGAUUUAGCCUGGGAGGAGGUGGUGAGAACUCUGGGAGAGAAAAAAGAAGGAAAGAAUAGUUUUACCCAUGCUGAAGUUAAUUUAAACCUUCACCUAGAGAAGCAAAAAAAAAACCCCACACGUUUCCAUUUUGUGCCUCCCUUCCUAGAGUUUUAGCCAAAGGUUUAGCUAAGUUAAUUGGUUUUACCAGGGCACUCACUCCUCCUAUCCCGAGUCUGUUUGACUCCCUCCCCAUCAUCGUCCUUACCUCUUUUCAGGCAGGGUGGGGAUAGCAGCAGGAGGAGAUUUUGGGAGCCUGGCAACUCCUGCAAGGACCGCAGGACAGCCCCUCUGUGGGGAUGCGUGGUGCCCCAUCUGCUGCCCUUCUGAAGAAUGCACUGCCUUCACUUUUUACUGUGUUAGAGUCCAUCCAGACUGUUCUAUCCAAAAAAGAGUUUCUUUUUCCCCCACAGGCAAUCAGGAAAUGAUUCCUUUCCCAACUGCUUCUGUCUAGUGCCUGGGAAUCUUCAGUCAAUCCCUCAGUAAGUCAGUGACUAGGGAAAUCCCUCUCUGAGCCUCCCAGUUCAUGUUGCUUAGGGAACCUGAUAUUUUCAUGAAACCUGCCUACACAUGGGCAGCCCAGCAGCAGAACAAAUGGUGGUGACCAAAGUGAACAAAGAAGUAUAGUUGUGCCAGCUUCGUAGUUGCCCAUGUGGACAAGUCAGCAGGAUCAGGACACGAGGAAGAGUAAAUGUGAGACAGUCAGUGUGACUUCUGCAAUAAACAGAUUUUUAAACCCCGAAAUUUUGCAAAAUUUUGGUGAAACCUGAACUUUCUUCGUUGCAUAUACUGGCACUAUCUGUACCAUCAUGCAACUGUCUCACAUUAAAGCUAUUUUUCUUGGGCACUGAUGAGUAAGGUUGGUAUGUUUGAGUUCCUCAGAUCAACAAAAACCCAUUUUCCUAUAAGUCUUACAUUUAGUAUUUAAGGAACUAAAACUUAAAUACAUUUUGUGAAAUGGUUGACACUUCACUGAUAAUGAUUUAUUGCUUGGAUUAAUAAAUUUUCCAAAAGUUGUCUUAUUAUGUAGAAUAUGGUUUGCAACCAGCAGAACCAUUAAUCUAUACUGCAAUGAUAUGCACUAUGUGUAAUUGUUUAAAAGCCUCUACUUAAUGAUGUAAAAUGCUCUAUUUAAUUACACAUUUGGGUAAACUGUAUACUAACAUCUGAUGGCAUUUUUCCACUGUUUGUUGCUUUUUUCAAAUACUUUAUUGUACAAAGCUGUUCUUAAUAUUUUCAAGUUUUUUUUCUUUGAAUUUUGCUAAUGUUUUCCUUGAAUUAUGAGCACUGACAGAAUGUGCUUAGCACUUUUGGCUAUUCACACAGCUUUUGAGCAUGAUUUGCAUCCAAUAUUUAUAUUGCUAGCAAUAAUAAGCCAUCUGUGAGUUUUGUCAAAAGUUAUUGGGGAUUUUUUAAAUUUUAGAAGUGCAGAUUAUUGUUUCUUUGAACUAACUCUUAUGCAGUUGCAAAGGCAUUUCCAGUUGUUAUAGUUUGUGUACAAUAUCAGAUGUUCCAGAUUAUGAUUCAUUAUUAAUAUCAUAGCUUCCUUGUUCCCUCUGAGGUCCAGAAGAUUCAUGUUUACAAUAUUUAGAAACAAUGUUAAAAAGGUAUCCAAAGUUUGUCACUUUAUUAUUAGUUUGUUCUUAAUAUUCUGUUUAAGUUUUUGAAUUCAUAGAUAUCAAAACACUGCACAAUUAUGGUUUCCACAGGAAUAACAACACACCAACAAUAAGAACCAAAAACAGCAAAUAGGCUGCCUACAAGUUUUGACAAUAUUAGGAUAAUGAUAAUGACAGUUUUUCUAAAUCUCACAGUAAAGAAUGCAGCAACCCAGCAACACUGCUACCUGUGGCCUCAGGCUGCAGUGUCAGCUCUUCCCUGGGUCUCCAGCCUGCCAGUCUAACCUGAAAAUUAUGUACUUGCCAGCCCCCACAGUCACGUGAGUGAACUGGCCCAGGCUGGUCACCAGGGUCAGUUUCUCUGUGUGUCAUUAAUUCAAUCUUCAGCAGUGUCUUUGGAGCUGAGAUGUACCUAUCAUCUGCCUUUUGGGUGCUCAGGGUGGAGAACCAGAAAAGUAUAACCUAGUGUGUAUCCUCAAAGAGCUAACAAUAUGGGGUGGUACCUAUAGGUCUGGAAACACUUUACUGACUCUAUGAGGCAUACCAGGAGACGUCAGAGAACAGUCCCUCCUCAAAUACCAAAUGAGAUGCAGAAGAAAUAGUUUGCUCAAGUUCAUGGGCCAGAUAUCCCAGUGGUCAGGGAGUUUCACGAAUGAGAUGGAACUUUGCAUGGAACCCGAGGGAUGUGUAUGAUUUGAGUAGAUGAAGAAAAUGAGACUUUCCAAGCAGCUAGAAGUUAGGGAGCAGCAAGAUGUGUGGUGGGAUUGAGCACAGUCGGUUCAGAGGAUAGACUGCAGUUUAAUAAUUUGUAGUAAAUAUCUCCCAACUGUUUGGCACUAUUGGAGCAAGUUCUUGAAUGCCAAAUGAAGGCAUAAAUCAGUAAGAGGCAUAAUAAAAGCUGAGCAGUGCUUGGCUUUUUAUGAGCUGAUCCUGAUAGGAGCAGCUAUUCAACAAAGUUGCCAGGUCAUUGUUACAUAGUCCCUGCCUUCUAGGGGCUCACUGCCUACUGGGAGAGACAGUCUGAAAGUUGGUGCAGCAUGUAACUGUUGGAUGAGGAGUUUGAGCCUGUGGACUGUGGGACCCCCGAGGAGGGUGUGACUACUCUAGGCAGAACAGUCCCACAGUUUAUUUAUAUUUAACCUUGAAAUUCAUUAGAGGAUUUUUCAGCAGAGGUUUGGUACUUGUUAAUGUUAAGCUUUGCAUUCUCUAGAACCUCAAGGAAAGCUGUACCGUGCAUAAUGUACCCUCUUAUGUUAAUGUUGUGUACUGUGAUCCUGUUUCAGGGACUUGCACUUAGGAAUCUGUUACAGUGAGCACAGAAGCAGACCUGUGGGCUCAUAGUCUUCACCCCCCACCCAUAUAUACAAGAUGAACAGAGUGGAGGUUAAACAACUUGACUAAACAACACAGUUCAUGGUAAAGCCCAAGACUGUACCUGCCCGUCCAGUGCCUUUUCCAUGUAUCCUGGAACUGAGCAUAGACCUCUUCCCAGGCAGAGCUGACAGCAAGUAAAGGAGAUCAUAAUCAGGGGACCAAACAACUUUGUCUAAAGUGUGAAUGUCACCUAAGGAGAAGCUGUGAGAUCAGAAGGGUGGGGCAGAGGAGCAGACACCAUGAGGGAGAGUCCUUGGGGGUGUGUCUGCCAGACUGACACUAUCUGGCCUGGGCAGUGGAGGGGCUAGCAGGAACCACAGGUACUGGUGAUGUGGCUACUACCGUUACAACUGCCUGUGCUUGGACAUGGACCCUCUGCAAUAUGCAGCAGUCUCAUUCAUUGCCCCCUACAUUCUACACCAAGUAGAAAUGGAAGGCAAUUGGAUACUUCACAGACAAGAUCUAAGUGGAGAAGGAAUGCGUCCUGUGGCUGCAGAGAUCCUUGGAGCUUGGAGGGGAGAGCUUGAGCCCCACUGGUGAUGACCUCCCACAGCUCGCCAACUCAGCCCUCCCUAAGUCCCCAUCGGGGGCCAAUUCUCUCUCCGGGGUUGGGGGGACUCCCCCAUAGCUCAUCCAUCAUAGGGAUGUUGGUAUCUACUGUGGGUUGGGUAGGGCCGAUGUGCUGAGGAUGGCUCCCCCACAAGCAAGAGAUGUGGAUUUGGGGAGCUUCCCAUCUUGUGUUGAAGGAACAUAACUCAGAAUAAUAAGAGCCAACUAUAACAAACCCACAGCCAACAUCAUACUGAAUGGGCAAAAGCUGCAGGCAUUCCCCUUGAAAAGUGGCACAGGAUAAGGAAGCCCUUUCUCACCACUCCUAUUCAAUAUAGUGUUGAAAGUCCUGAUCACAGCAGUCAGGCAACAGAAAUAAUAAAGGGCAUCCAGAUAGGAAGAGAGAAAGUCAAACUAUCCUUGUUUGCAGACAGUAUGAUUCUAUAUCUAGAAAACCCCAUAGCCUCAGCCCAAAAUGUCCUUCAUCUGAUAAUUUCAGCAAAGUUUCAGGAGACAAAAUCAAUGUACAAAAAUCACUAACAUUCCUAUACACAAUCGCCAAGCCAAGAGCCAAAUCAGGAGCACAAUCCCAUUCAUAAUUGCCACCAAAAAGAAUAAAAUACCUAGGAAUGCAGCUAACCAAUGAAGUAAAGGAUCUCUACAAUGAGAAUCACAAAGGCUGCUCAAAGAAAUCAGAGAUGACACAAACGGAAAAACUUUCCAUGCUCAUGGCUAGGAAGAAUCAAUAUCAUUAAAGUGGCCAUACUACCCAAAGCAAUUUAUAGAUUCAAUGCUAUUCCUAUCAAACUAUCAAUUACAUUUUUCACAGAACUAGAAAAAACUUAAAAUUCAUAUGGAACCAAAAAGCCUGAGUAGUCAAGGCAAUCCUAAACAAAAAGAACAAAGGUGGAGGCAUCACAUUACCUAACUUCAAACUACAGGGCUACCAUGACCAAAACAGCAUGGUACUGGUACAAAAGCAGACACACAGACCAGUGGGACAGAAUAGAGAGCCCAAAAAUAAGGCCACAAACCUACAGCCAUCUGAUCUUCAACAAAGUUGACAAAAACAAGCAAUGGGGAAAGGUCUCCCUAUUCAAUAAAUGGUGCUGGGAUAACUGGCUGGCCAUAUGCAGAAGAUCGUAACUGGACCCCUUUUACUAUGUACAAAAAUUAAGAUGGUUUAAAGGGUUAAAACCCAAAAUUAUAAAAAUCCUGAAGAUAACUUAGGCAAUACCAUUCUGGACAUAGGAACUGGCAAAGAUUUCAUGAUGAAGACACCAAAAGCAAUUGUAACAAAAGCAAAAAUGGACAAAUCGGAUUUAAGAGCUUCUUCACAGCAAAAGAAACAACAGGGCAGACAAUCUACAGAAUGACAAAAAAUUUUUGCAAACUAUGCAUCUGACAAGGGGCUAAUAUCUAGCAUCUAUAAGGAAUUUAAACACAGUUACAGGAAAAAAAAAUCCACUCCAUUAAAAAAUGGGCAAAGGACAUGAACAGACACUUUUCAAAAAAGACAUACAUACAGCCAACUAGCAUGUUAAAGAAAACCUCAAUUAUCACUGAUCAUUAGAGAAAUGCAAAAUCAAAACCACGAUGAGAUAUCAUCUGCCAGUCAGGAUGGCUACAAAAAAGUAAAAAAAUAAUAGAUGUUGGUGAGGUUAUGGAGAAAAGGAACACUUAUACACUUGUUGGGAGUGUAAAUUAGUUCAAUCACUGUGGACAGCAGUGUGGCGAUUCCUCAGAGAGCUAAAAACAGAACUACCAUUUGACCCACCAAUCCCAUUACUGGGUAUUUACCUAAAGGAAUAUAAAUCAUUCCACCAUAAAGACACAUGCAAGUGUAUGUUCAUUGCAGCACUAUUAAGAGUAACAAAGCCGGGCACAGUGGCUCACCUCACGACUGUAAUCCCAGCACUUUGGGAGGCUGAGGUAGGCAGAUCACCUGAGGUCAGCAGUUUGAGACCAGCCUGACCAACAUGGAGAAACCCCAUCUCUACUGAAAAUACAAAAUUAGCCAGGUGUGGUGGCUCAUGCCUGUAAUCCCAGCUACUUGGGAGGCCAAGGCAGGAGAAUUGCUUGAACCCAGGAGGCAGAGGUUGCGGUGAGCCGAGAUCACACCAUUGCAUUCCAGCCUGGUGAAGGAGCAAGACUCCAUCUCAAAAAAAAAAAAAAAAAAAAAGGAAAAAUACACAUUCAGAGGAGACAAAAAAUAAAAAAUGAUGCAUGCCUACAGGAUCUAGAAAAUAACUUCUUAAGGGCAAAUCUAGGAGUUACUGGCCUUAAAGAAGAGAUAGAGAAAGAGAUAGGAAUAGAAAGUUUGUUGAAAGGGAUAAUAAUAUAGAACUUCCUAAACCUACAGAAAGAUAUUUAUAUCCAAGUACAAGAAGGUUAUAGAACACCAGGCCAAUUUAACCCAAAGAUUACCUCAAGGCAUUUAAUAAUCAAACUCCCACAGGACAAGGGUAGAGAAAGGAUCCUAAAAGCAGCAAGAGAAAAGAAACAGAUAACAUACAAUGGAGCUCCAGUACAUCUGGCAGUAUAUUUUUCAGUGGAAACCUUACAAGCCAGGAGAGAGUGACAUGACAUAUGUUAAAGUGCUGAAGGGAAAAAACCUUUUACCCUAGAAUAGUAUAUCCAGCAAAAAUAUCCUUCAAACAUGAAGAAUAAACAAAGACUUCCCCAGACAAACAAAAGCUGAGGGAUUUCAUCAACACUAGACUGGUCCCAUAAGAAACGCUUAAGGGAGUACUUUGGUCAGAAAGAAACAGACAUUAAUGAGCAACAAGGAAUCAUCUAAAGGUACAAAACUCACUGUUAAGAGUAAGUACACAGAAAAACCCAAAGUAUGAUAACAUUGUAACUGUGGUGUGUAACUAGAAAGAAUACAUGAUAAACCAAUCAAAAAUAGUAACUACAACAACUUUUCAAGACACAGUCAGAAAAAUAAGAUAAAAUUAGAAACAACAAAAAGUUAAAAAGUGGGGGGAUGAAGUUAAGAUGUAGAGUUUUUAUUAGUUUUCUUUUUGUUUGUUAAUGCAAACAGUGUUACCAGGUUAAAAUAAUGGGUUACAAAAUAGUAUUUGUAAUCCUUAUGGUAACCUCAAACCUAAAAACAUACACUGGAUACAUAAAAAAUAAAAAGCAAAAACCUAAAUCAUAUCACCAGAGAAAACUACCUUCCCUAAAGGAAGACAGGAAGAAAAGAAAGAAGAAGACCACAAAACAACCAGAAAACAAAUAAAUAACAAGGCAGGAGUAAGUCUUUACUUAUCAAUAAUACAUUGAAUGGAAAUGGACUAAACUCUCCAAUCAAAAGACAUACACUGGCUGAAUGAAUGGAGAAAACAAGACCCAUUGAUCUGUUGCCUACAAGAAACACACUUAAACUAUAAAGACACACAUAGACUGAAAGUAAAGAGUUGGAAAGAGUUAUUCCAUGCCAAUGGAAACCAGAAAAAAGAGGAGUAUUGAUUUUGAUACAAAAACUAUAAGAAGAGACAAAUAAAGUCACUAUACAAUGAUAAAGGGGUUAAUAUGGUUUCCAUUUGUGCCCCACCCAAAUUUCAUGUUCUAUUGUAAUCCUCAAUGUUGGAGGUGGGGCCUGGUCGGACGUGAUUGGAUCAUGGGGGUGGAUCUUUCAUGAAUAAUUCAGCACCAUCUUCUUAGUGCUGUUCUCAUGAUAGUGAGUUCUUCUGAAAUCUGGUUGCUUAAAAGUGUGUAGCACCUCUCCACACCACCCGCUUGCCUUGGUCUACUCCUGCUAUGUAGAUGCUUGCUCCCACUUGCAUUAUUCCAUGAGUAAAAGCUCCCUCAGGCCUUCCCAGAAUCAGAUGCUGCUAUGCUUCCUGAACAGCCUGUGGAACUAUGAGCCAAUUCAACCUCUUUUCUUCAUAAAUUAACAAGUCUUGGGUAUUUUUUUAUAGCAGUGUGAGAACAGAAUAAUGCAGAAAAUUGGUAAAGAGGAGUGAGGCAUUGCUAGAAAGAUACCUGAAAAUGUGGAAACGGCAGUGGAACUGGGACACAGACAGAGGUUGGAAGAGUAUGGAGGGCUCCGAAGAUAGGAAGAUGAGGGGAAGUUUGGAAUUUCUUAGAGAUUUGUUAAAUUGUUUUGACCAAAAUACUGAUAGUGGUAUGGACAAUGAAGUCCAGGCUGAGGAGGUCUCAGAUGGAGAUGAGGGACUUAUUGGGACCUGGAGUGAAGGUCACUUUUGUUAGGACAUUGUGGUUGGAGACAUUGUGCCCCUGCCCUAGGAAUCUGUGGAACUUUGAACUUGAGAGCGAAGAUUUAGGGUAUCUGGCAGAAGAAAUUUCUAAGCAGCAAAGCGUUCAAGACAUGGCCUGGCUGCUUCUGGUAGUCUGUGCUCAUAUUUGUGAGCAAAGACAUGACAAGAAACUGGAACUUCUAUUUAAAAAGGAAGCAGAGUGUAAAAGUUUGGAGAAUUUGCAGCCUGGCCAUGUUGUAGAAAAGAAAAAAAAAACAUUUUCUGGAGAGGAAUUCAAGCUAGCUGCAGAAAAUUGCAAGUAACAAGGAGCAAAAUGUUGAUAGCCAAGAUAGUGGGAAAAACACCUUGAAGGUAUUUCAGAUACCUUGGGGGCAGCCUCUCCCAUCACAGGCCCAAAGGCCUAGGAGGGAAGGAUGGUUUCCUGGGCCAGGCUCAGGGUCCUGCUGCCCUGCACAGCCUCAGGAAACUGCUCUCCAAAUCCCAGCUGCUCCAGCUCCAGCUUCAGCUCAAAGGGCCCCAGGUAUAGCUCAGGCUGCUGCUCCAAAGGAUGCAAGUUGUAAGCCUUAGUGGCUCCCGUGUGGUGUUAAAUUAAGCCUGUAGGGGCACAGAGUGCAAGAAUUGAGGCUUGGGAGCCUCCAACUAGAUUUCAGAGUAUGUGUGGGAAAGCCUGGAUGUCCAGGCAGAGGCCAGCUGCAGGGACAGAGCCCUCAUGGAGAACCUCUACUAGGGUAGUGUGGAGGGGAAAUUUGGGGUUGGAGUUCCCACACAGCUUCCCCUCUGGUGUACUGCCUAGUAGAGCUGUGAGAAGACAGCCACUGUCCUCCAGAUUCCAGGAUGGUAGAUCUGCCAAUGACAGCUUGCACUGUACACCUGGAAAAGCCACAGGCAGUCAAUGCCAGCCCGUGAAAGCAGUGACAGUGGCUUACCCUGCAAAGUCCCAGGGGCUGAGCUGCCCAAGGCCUUGGGAGCCCACCCCUUGCACCAAUGUGCCCUGGAUGUGAGAUAUGGGGUCAAAGGAGACUAUUUUGGAACUUUAAGAUUUAAUGACUACCUGCUGGGUUUCAGACUUGCAUGGGUCCAGUAGCCCCUUUCUUUUGGCCAAUUUCUCACUUUUGGAAUGGGAGUGUUUACCCAAUUCCUGUACCCCCACUGUAUGUUGGAAGUAACUAACCGUUUUUUUAUUUUGUAAGCUCACAGGUGGGAGAGACUUGCCUUGUCUCAGGCGAGACUCUGGACUUUGGACUUUUGAAUUAAUGCUGGAAUGAGUUAAGACUUUGAGGGACUGUUGGGAAGAUAUAACUGUAUUUUGCAGUAUGAGAAGGACAUGAGAUUUGGGAGACACCAGAGGUGGAAUAAUAUGAUUUGGAUCUGCAUCCCCACCAAAAUCUCAUGUUCAAUUGUAAUCCUAAAUUUUGGAGGUUGAGCCUGGUGGAAGAGGAUUGGAUAAUGGAGGUGGUUUCUCAUGGUUUAACACCAUCCCCCUGGGUGCUGUUCUCAUGACAGUGAGUGAGUUAUUGUGAGAUCUGAUUGUUUAAAAGUGUGUGCCACCUCCUCCCACUUUCCUCCUGCUCCAGCCAUGUAAGACAGGCUUGCCUCCCCUUCACCUUCUGUCAUGAUUGUAAGUGUUCUGAGGCCUCCCCAGCCAUGCUUCCUGUACAGCCUGCAGAACUGUGAGCCAAUUAAACCUCUUUUCUCUAUAUAUUACCCAGUCUCAGGUAUUUCUUUAUAGCAGUGCAAGAAUAGACUAAUACAGGGUUCAGUUCAGCAAGAGGAUAUAACAAAUAUAAAUAUAUAUGCACUCAACACUGCAGCACCCAGAUAUACAAAGCAAAUAUGAUUAGAGCUAAAGAGAGAGAGUGACCCCAAUACAAUAAUAGCUGGAGAACUUCAACACCACAUUUUCAGCCCUGGACAGAUCUUCCAGACAGAAAAUAAAAAAGAAACAUCAGACUUAAUCUGCACUGUAGAUCAAAUGGAUCUAAUACAUACUUGCAGAACAUUUUAUCCAAUGGCUGCAGAAUACACAUUGUUUUUUAGCACAUGUAUCAUUCUCAAGGAUAGACCAUAUGUUAGGUCACAAAUCUUAAAACAUUAAAAAAGUUGAAUACCAUCAAGCAUCUUCUCUGACCACAGUGGAAUACAACUAGAAACUAAUAACAAGAGGAAUUUUUGAAACUAUACAAAUACAUGAAAAUUAAACAAUAUGCUCCUGAAUGACCAUUGAGUCAAUGAAGAAAUUAAGAAGGAAAUUGAACAAUUUCUUGAAACAAAUGAUAAAGGAAACACAACAUACCAAAACCUAUGGGAUACGGCAAAAGCAGUCCUAAGAGGCAAAUUUAUAGCUGUAAGUGCUUACAUGAAAAAAGAGGAAAAACUUCAAAUAAGCAAUUUAACAAUGAACCUUAAAGAACCAGAAAAGCAAGAGCAAAACAAAAAAUUAGAAGAAAACAAAUAAUAAAAAUCAGAGCAUAAAUAAAAUUGAAAUAAAAAUCAAUGCAAAAGAACAAUGAAACAAAAAGUUGCUUUUUUUCAAAAGUUAAACAAAACUGACAAGCCUUUAGCAAGACUGAGAAAAAAGAGACAAGAUACAAAUAAAUAAAAUCAGAAAUGAAAAAGACAUUACAACUGACACUGCAGAAAUUCAAAGGAUCAUUAGGGGCUACUAUGAGCAACUCUAUGCCAAUAAAUUAGAAAAUCUAGAAGAAAUUGACAAUUCCUAGACACAUACAACCUACUGAGACUGAACCAGGAAGAAAUCCAAAACCUGAACAGACUAAUAACAAGUAACAAGGUUGAAGCCAUAAUAAAAAGUCUCCCACUAAAGAAAACCAAGGACCCGAUGGCUUCACUGUUGAAUUCUACCAAACAUUUAAAGAAGAACUAAUACCAAUCCCACUCAAGCUAUUGAAAAAUAGAGUAGGAGAGAAUAUUUCCAAAGUCAUUCUAGGAGACUAGUAUCACCCUGAUACCAAAACCAGACAAAGACACAUCAAAAAAAGAAAACUGCUGGCCAAUUUCUCGGAUGAAUAUUGAUGCCAGAAUCCUCAGCAAAAUAUUAGCAAACUAAAUUCAACAAUACAUUAAAAAGAUCAUUCAUCAGGGUCGGGUGCAGUGGCUUAAGCCUCUAAUCCCAGCACUUUGGGAGGCCGAGGUGGGCAGAUCACCUGAGGUCAGGAGUUCAAGACCAGCCUGACCAACAUGGUGAAACCUUGUCUCUACUGAAAAUACAAAAUUAGCCGAGUGUGGUGGUGCAUGCCUGUAAUCCCACCUACUCAGGAGACUGAGGCAGGAGAAUCGCUUGAACCCAGGAGGUGGAGGUUGCAGUGAGCUGAGAUUGUGGCACUGCACUCCAGCCUUGGUGACAGAGUGAGACUCCAUUAAAAAAAAAUCAUUCAUCAUGACCAAGUGGGAUUUAUCCCUGGAAUGCAAGGAUGGUUCAACACAUGCAAAUCAAUCAAUGUAAUACAUCAUAUCAAAAAGAAUGAUUAAAACCAUAUGAUUAUUUCUAUUGAUGCUGAAAAAGUAUUUUAUAAAAUCCAACAUCCCUUCAUGAUAAAAACCCUCAAAAAACUGUAUAAAAGAAAUAUACCUCAACGUAAUAGCCAGAUAUGACAGACCCACAGCUAGUAUCAUACUGAAUGGGGAAAAAGUGAAAGCCUUUCCUAUAAGAUCUGGAACACAACAGGGAUGUUCACUGUCACCACUGUUACUCAACAAAGUACUGGAUGUUCUAGCUAGAGCGAUCAGACAAGAGAAGAUAUAAAGGCCAUCCAAACUGGAAAGGGAGAAGUUAAAUUACCCUAGUUUGCAGAUGAUAUGAACUUAUAUUUGGAAAAAACCUAAAGGCUCCACAGGAAAACUAUUAGAAUCAAUAAAUUCAGUAAAGUUGCAGGACACAAAAUCAACAUAUAAAAACCAGUAGCAUUUCUACAUGCCAACAGUGAACAAUUUGAAAAAUUUUAAAUUUAAGAAGGUAAUUUCAUUUACAAUAGCCACACAUAAAAUUAAAUACCUAGGAAUUAACCAAAAAUGUGCAAGAUAUCUAUGAGGAGAAUUAUAAAACAUUGAUGAAAGAAAUUGAAGAGGACACACACAAAAAAAGGAAAAAAUUCCAUCUUUAUGGAUUGGAAGAAUCAAUAUUGUUAAAAUGUCCAUACUACCCAAAGCAAUCUACAGAUUCAAUGCAAUCCCUAUCAAAAUACCAAUAAUAGUCUUCAGAGAAAUAGAAAAAAAAAUCCCAAAAUUUAUAUGAAAACACAGAAUGCCCAGAAUAGCCAAAAUUAUCUUAAGCAAAAAGAUCAAAACUGGAGGAAUCACAUUACCUGACUUCAAAUUAUGCUACAGAGCUAUAAUCACCAAAACAGCAUGGUACUGACAUAAAAACAGACACAUAGUCCAACAGAACAGAAUAGAGAACCUAGAAACAAAUCCACGCACUCACAGGGAACUCAUUUUUGACAGAGUUGCCAAGUACUUAUACUGGAGAAAAGAAAAGACAGUCUCUUCAAUGAAAUGGUGCUGGGAAAACUGGAUAUCCGUAUGUAGAAGAAUGAAACUAGACCCCUACCUCUCACUGUAGACAAAAGUCAAAUCAAGGCUAGCCAUGGUGGCUUACACCUGUAAUCUCAGCACUUUGGGAGGCUGAGGCAGGCGCAUCACGAGGUGAAGAGAUCGAGACCAUCCUGACCAACAUGGUGAAACUCACCCCCCCCCCCCCGCCCACUAAAAAUACAAAAAGGAAUUAGCUGGGCAUGAUGGCAUGUGCCUGCAGUCCUAGCUACUCAGGAGGCUGGGGCAGGAGAAUCGCUUGAACCCAGGAGGUGGAGGUUGCAGUGAGCUGAGAUUGUGCCACUGCACUCCAGCCUGGCGACAGAGCAAGACUCCAUCUCAAAAAAUAAAAAAUAAAAAAUCAAUUCAAAAUGUAAUAAAGACUUAAAUCUAAGACCUCAAACUAUGAAACUACUAUAAGAAAACAUUGGGGAAAAUCUCCAGGACAGUAGUCUGGCCAAAAAUUUCUUGAGCAAUACCCCACAAGCACAGGCAACCAAAAUAAAACUGGACAAAUAGUAUCACAUCAAGUUUAAAAGCUUCUACAAAGCAAAGGAUACAAUCAAUAAAGAGACAACCCACAGAAUGGGAGAAAAUAUUUGCAAACUACCCAUCUGACAAAGAAAUAAUAACCAGAGUAUAUAAGAAGCUCAAACAACUCUAUAGUAAAAAAAAAAAAAAAAAAAAAAAAAAAAUCUAAAAGUCUAAGUAAAAAAUGGGCAAAAGAUUUUAAUAGACAUUUCUCAAAAGAAGACAUACAGGCCAUGCGUGGUGGCUCAUGCCUGUAAUCCCAGCACUUUGGGAGGCCCAGGCGGGUGGAUCACUUGAGGUCAGGAGUUCGAGACCAGCCUGACCAACAUUGUGAAACUCCGUCUCUACUAAAAAUACAAAAAUAAGCCAGGCAUGGUGGCGCACAUCUGUAAUCCCAGCUACUCAGGAGGCUGAGGCAGGAGAAUCGCUUGAACCUGGGAGACAGAGGUUGCAGUAAGCCGAGAUCACACCACUGCACUCCAGCCUGGGCAACAAAGUGAGACUCCGUCUCAAAAAAAUAAAAAUAAAAAUAAAAAAAUAAAAAAAAGAAAAAAAGAAAAGAAAAAGGAAGAAGACAUAUAAAGCCAGGUACAGUGGCUUAUGCCUCUAAUCCUAGCAUUUUAGGAGGCCAAGGCAGACGGAAUUGAGCCCAGAAGUUUGAGACCAGACUGAGCAAUAUGGUCAAACCCCAAUUCUGCAAAAUACAAAAAUAAAAAAUAGCUGGGAGUGGUGGUGCACACCUGUAGUCCCAGCUACUUAGGAAGCUGAGAUGGGAGGAUCACUUGAGCCUGCAGUGAAUCAUAAUUGCACCAAUGCAUUCCAGCCUGGGCGACAGAGUGAGAGACACUGUCUCAAAAAAAAGAAAGAAAAAGAAAAAAAAGGACAUAAAAAUGACAGGCAUAUGAAAAGUUGCUGAUGAUUAUUGAUCAUCAGAGAAAUGCAAAUCAAAACUGCAAUGAGAUGUAAUCUCACCCCAGUUAAAAUGGCUUAUAUCCAAAAGACAGGCAAUAACAAAUGCUGGUGAGGAUGUGGAAAAAAGGGAACCCUCGUACACUGUUGAUGGGAAUGUAAAUUAGUACAACCACUAUGGAUAACAGUUUAGAGGUUCCUCAGAAAACUAAAAAUUGAGUUGCGAUAUGAUGCAACAAUCCUACUGCUGGGUGUAUACCCCACAAAAGAGAAAACCAGCGUUUUGCAUGGUGGCUCACACCCGUAAUCCCAGCACUAUGGGAGGCCGAGGAGGGCAGAUCACUUGAGCCCAGAAGUUCAAGACCAGCCCGAGCAACAUGGCAAAACCUGAUUUCUACAAAAUACAAAAAAAAAUUAGGCAGUUGUAGUGGUUCACACCUAUAGUCCUAGCUACUGUGGAGGCUGAGGUAGGAUCGCUUGAACCCAGGAGGCGGAGGUUGCAGUGAGCCAAGAUCAUGCCACUGCACUCCAGCCUGGGUGACAAAGUGUGACCCUGUCUCAAAAAAGAAAAGAAAAUCGGUAUAUGGAAGAGAUAUCUGCACUCCUAUGUUUUUUACAACACUGUUUACAAUAGCUAAGAUUUGGAAGCAACCUAAAUGUCCAACAACAGAUGAAUGGAUAAGGAAAAUUUGGUAUGUAUACACAAUGAAGUACUAUUCAGCCAUAAAAAGGAAUGAGAUCCAGUCAUUUGCAACAGCAUGGAUGGAAGUGGAGAUCAUUAUGUUAAAUGAAAUAAGCCAGGCACAGAAAGGCAAACAUGGCAUGUUCUCACUUAUUUGUGGGACCUAAAUUCAGAACAAUUGAACUAAUGGACAUAAAGAGUAGAAAAAUGGUUACCAGAGGCUAGGAAUGGUAGUGGGGGUAGUGGACGUUGAAGGGAAGGUGGGGAUGUUUAAUCGGUAAAAAAAAAUUUUAGAAGAAUAAGACCUACUAUUUGAUAGCACAACAGGGGGACUAUAGUCAAUAAUAAUUGCACAUUUAAAAAUAGUGUAAUUGAAUUGUUUGUAACUCAAAGGAUAAAUGCAUGAGGGAAUGGAUACCCCAUUCUCCAUGAUGUGCUUAUUUCACAUUGCAUACCUGUAUCAAAACAUCUCAUGUACCCCAUAAAUAUAUGCAGCUAUUAUGUACCCACAAAAAUUGAAAAUCAAAACUAAAAUAUUUUUUUAAAUGUAUUAUUAUUUGUCCUCUGUGAAUAAAACUCGCUUCUGGCCCUCCUU